rnacentral:rRNA from 1 species
GAUGAACGCUGGCGGCGUGCUUAACACAUGCAAGUCGAGCGAAGCACUUAAGUCUGAUUCUUCGGAUGAAGACUUUUGUGACUGAGCGGCGGACGGGUGAGUAACGCGUGGGUAACCUGCCUCAUACAGGGGGAUAACAGUUAGACAUGACUGCUAAUACCGCAUAAGACCACGGUACCGCAUGGUACAGUGGUAAAAACUCCGGUGGUAUGAGAUGGACCCGCGUCUGAUUAGGUAGUUGGUGGGGUAACGGCCUACCAAGCCGACGAUCAGUAGCCGACCUGAGAGGGUGACCGGCCACAUUGGGACUGAGACACGGCCCAGACUCCUACGGGAGGCAGCAGUGGGGAAUAUUGCACAAUGGAGGAAACUCUGAUGCAGCGACGCCGCGUGAAGGAUGAAGUAUUUCGGUAUGUAAACUUCUAUCAGCAGGGAAGAAAAUGACGGUACCUGACUAAGAAGCCCCGGCUAACUACGUGCCAGCAGCCGCCGUAA